GCGCGGAAGUCGGCCAUGGACUGGAAAGAAGUUCUUCGUCGGCGCCUAGCGACGCCCAACACCUGUCCAAACACUGCCUGCUGAAGAUGAAGUCUUACUACAGAAAUUAAGAGAGGAAUCAAGAGCUGUCUUUCUACAAAGAAAAAGCAGAGAACUGUUAGAUAAUGAAGAAUUACAGAACUUAUGGUUUUUGCUGGACAAACACCAGACACCACCUAUGAUUGGAGAGGAAGCGAUGAUCAAUUACGAAAACUUUUUGAAGGCAAUUUUUCACAGCAAAAGUCUUUGCUAAACUCCUUCAUACAGAUUCAUAUGGAAGAAUUUCCAUCAUGCAGUUCUUUAAUUAUGUCAUGAGAAAAGGAUUUAGAAAACUACAUAUUGGAACUUAUCCCUACGUUGCCACAAUUAGAUGGUCUGGAAAAAUCUUUCUACUCCUUUUAUGUUUGUACAGCAGUUAGGAAGUUCUUCUUCUUUUUAGAUCCUUUAAGAACAGGAAAGAUAAAAAUUCAAGAUAUUUUAGCAUGCAGCUUCCUAGAUGAUUUAUUGGAGCUAAGGGAUGAGGAACUGUCCAAGGAGAGUCAAGAAACAAAUUGGUUUUCUGCUCCUUCUGCCCUAAGAGUUUAUGGCCAGUACUUGAAUCUUGAUAAAGAUCACAAUGGCAUGCUCAGUAAAGAAGAACUCUCACGCUAUGGAACAGCUACCAUGACCAAUGUCUUCUUAGACCGUGUUUUCCAGGAGUGUCUCACUUAUGAUGGAGAAAUG
rnacentral:lncRNA from 1 species